rnacentral:lncRNA from 1 species
GUUGAGGGAAGCUUUGCCUAGGCUGGGAUGGCACUUGGGUAUAGCCCCAGGUUUGAGUGCUGCUGUAUUCAUGGACAGUGCCCCAGAGGAAGAAGCACCGUGGGGACUCUCACUGCAAAGAAGACAGACCAUUAUCAACACUCCUCCCCUCUGUUCCCCAAAGUCCCCUCCUGACCGCAGCAUCAAUCUUCCACGCUGGCCGGCCGGAGGUGGUGCCUCUGGCAGAUUUAAAUGAGAGCAUGAAGGUGGGACCUCCAUUACUGGAUUAGUGUCCUUAUAAGAAGAGGAAGAGACCAGAGCUCACUCUCCCCACCACGUGAGGAUACAGUGAGAAGGUGGCUGUCUGCAAGCCAAGAGCCCUCACCCAAACAGAAUCUGCUGGUAUCUUGAUGUUGGAUUUUCUAGCCUCCAGGACUGUGAGAAAUAAA